CGAGUCUUUGAACGCAAGUUGCGCCCGAAGCCAAUAGGCCGAGGGCACGCCUGCCUGGGUGUCACGC
rnacentral:rRNA from 1 species